ACGACCUUACUUGAACAGGAUCUGUUCUAUAGGCUCGUACUUCUGCAUUCUUGAUUCCUAAGAAGACAGAAACCCAUGUCAGGUUGAUGAACCACGACCAUGUAACCAGAGCGUGAUUAACAGAACCCAUGGCAUAGUCUAUGCCAUGGCUAAGUAGAGGAUCGUUGUCACCCCAUCUGAUGGGUUCUGGCAUGGUUACAUGGUUGCCUGACAGACA